CUGGCGGCGUGCCUAAUACAUGCAAGUCGUACGCUUCUUUUUCCACCGGAGCUUGCUCCACCGGAAAAAGAAGAGUGGCGAACGGGUGAGUAACACGUGGGUAACCUGCCCAUCAGAAGGGGAUAACACUUGGAAACAGGUGCUAAUACCGUAUAACAAUCGAAACCGCAUGGUUUUGAUUUGAAAGGCGCUUUCGGGUGUCGCUGAUGGAUGGACCCGCGGUGCAUUAGCUAGUUGGUGAGGUAACGGCUCACCAAGGCCACGAUGCAUAGCCGACCUGAGAGGGUGAUCGGCCACAUUGGGACUGAGACACGGCCCAAACUCCUACGGGAGGCAGCAGUAGGGAAUCUUCGGCAAUGGACGAAAGUCUGACCGAGCAACGCCGCGUGAGUGAAGAAGGUUUUCGGAUCGUAAAACUCUGUUGUUAGAGAAGAACAAGGAUGAGAGUAACUGUUCAUCCCUUGACGGUAUCUAACCAGAAAGCCACGGCUAACUACGUGCCAGCAGCCGCGGUAAUACGUAGGUGGCAAGCGUUGUCCGGAUUUAUUGGGCGUAAAGCGAGCGCAGGCGGUUUCUUAAGUCUGAUGUGAAAGCCCCCGGCUCAACCGGGGAGGGUCAUUGGAAACUGGGAGACUUGAGUGCAGAAGAGGAGAGUGGAAUUCCAUGUGUAGCGGUGAAAUGCGUAGAUAUAUGGAGGAACACCAGUGGCGAAGGCGGCUCUCUGGUCUGUAACUGACGCUGAGGCUCGAAAGCGUGGGGAGCAAACAGGAUUAGAUACCCUGGUAGUCCACGCCGUAAACGAUGAGUGCUAAGUGUUGGAGGGUUUCCGCCCUUCAGUGCUGCAGCUAACGCAUUAAGCACUCCGCCUGGGGAGUACGACCGCAAGGUUGAAACUCAAAGGAAUUGACGGGGGCCCGCACAAGCGGUGGAGCAUGUGGUUUAAUUCGAAGCAACGCGAAGAACCUUACCAGGUCUUGACAUCCUUUGACCACUCUAGAGAUAGAGCUUCCCCUUCGGGGGCAAAGUGACAGGUGGUGCAUGGUUGUCGUCAGCUCGUGUCGUGAGAUGUUGGGUUAAGUCCCGCAACGAGCGCAACCCUUAUUGUUAGUUGCCAUCAUUCAGUUGGGCACUCUAGCAAGACUGCCGGUGACAAACCGGAGGAAGGUGGGGAUGACGUCAAAUCAUCAUGCCCCUUAUGACCUGGGCUACACACGUGCUACAAUGGGAAGUACAACGAGUCGCGAAGUCGCGAGGCUAAGCUAAUCUCUUAAAGCUUCUCUCAGUUCGGAUUGUAGGCUGCAACUCGCCUACAUGAAGCCGGAAUCGCUAGUAAUCGCGGAUCAGCACGCCGCGGUGAAUACGUUCCCGGGCCUUGUACACACCGCCCGUCACACCACGAGAGUUUGUAACACCCGAAGUCGGUGAGGUAACCUUUUGGAGCCAGCCGCCUAAGGUGGGAUAGAUGAUUGG
rnacentral:rRNA from 1 species